GAUGAACGCUGGCGGCGUGCCUAAUACAUGCAAGUCGAGCGAACAGACGAGGAGCUUGCCCCUCUGACGUUAGCGGCGGACGGGUGAGUAACACGUGGAUAACCUACCUAUAAGACUGGGAUAACUUCGGGAAACCGGAGCUAAUACCGGAUAAUAUAUUGAACCGCAUGGUUCAAUAGUGAAAGACGGUUUUGCUGUCACUUAUAGAUGGAUCCGCGCCGCAUUAGCUAGUUGGUAAGGUAACGGCUUACCAAGGCAACGAUGCGUAGCCGACCUGAGAGGGUGAUCGGCCACACUGGAACUGAGACACGGUCCAGACUCCUACGGGAGGCAGCAGUAGGGAAUCUUCCGCAAUGGGCGAAAGCCUGACGGAGCAACGCCGCGUGAGUGAUGAAGGUCUUCGGAUCGUAAAACUCUGUUAUUAGGGAAGAACAACUGUGUAAGUAACUAUGCACGUCUUGACGGUACCUAAUCAGAAAGCCACGGCUAACUACGUG
rnacentral:rRNA from 1 species